GGACUUCUGACCGAGUGGUUAAGGUGCUAGAUUCAGGUUCUAGUCUCGAAAGAGGCAAGGGUUCGAACCCCUUGGAGUUCA
rnacentral:tRNA from 1 species